rnacentral:rRNA from 1 species
AACGAACGCUGGCGGCGUGCCUAACACAUGCAAGUCGAGCGAGAAAGCCCGCAAGGGUGAGUAAAGCGGCGCACGGGUGCGUAACACGUGGGUAAUCUUCCUUGGAGCUCGGAAUAACUCCCCGAAAGGGGUGCUAAUGCCGGAUAAGCCCACGGGAACCUUGGUUCCUGAGGGAAAAGGUGGCCUCUGCACGCAAGCUAUCACUCCAAGAUGAGUCCGCGGCCCAUCAGCUAGUUGGCGGGGUAAUGGCCCACCAAGGCUACGACGGGUAGCUGGUCUGAGAGGACGAUCAGCCACACUGGAACUGAGACACGGUCCAGACUCCUACGGGAGGCAGCAGUGGGGAAUCUUGCGCAAUGGGCGAAAGCCUGACGCAGCAACGCCGCGUGUGUGAUGAAGGUCUUCGGAUCGUAAAGCACUGUCGGGAGAGACGAAUAAGGCGGCCGCUAACAUCGGCCGACGAUGACGGUACCUCCAAAGGAAGCACCGGCUAACUCUGUGCCAGCAGCCGCCGUAAGAC